AGUGAACGCUGGCGGUAGGCCUAACACAUGCAAGUCGAACGGCAGCACAGUAAGAGCUUGCUCUUACGGGUGGCGAGUGGCGGACGGGUGAGGAAUACAUCGGAAUCUACUUUUUCGUGGGGGAUAACGUAGGGAAACUUACGCUAAUACCGCAUACGACCUACGGGUGAAAGCAGGGGAUCUUCGGACCUUGCGCGAUUGAAUGAGCCGAUGUCGGAUUAGCUAGUUGGCGGGGUAAAGGCCCACCAAGGCGACGAUCCGUAGCUGGUCUGAGAGGAUGAUCAGCCACACUGGAACUGAGACACGGUCCAGACUCCUACGGGAGGCAGCAGAGGGGAAUAUUGGACAAUGGGCGCAAGCCUGAUCCAGCCAUACCGCGUGGGUGAAGAAGGCCUUCGGGUUGUAAAGCCCUUUUGUUGGGAAAGAAAAGCAGCAGGUUAAUACCCCGCUGUUCUGACGGUACCCAAAGAAUAAGCACCGGCUAACUUCGU
rnacentral:rRNA from 1 species